CAGCCCGUUCUCCACUCUUGCUUGUCUCCUCCAGAACCUCCUUGCUGCUGUCACUACAAGAGAGUCCUGUUGUCAUUGCUAGGACUUGGUUGGAUGGAUCUGACAUUGAAAGUGCUGACACCUAGUUUCUGAUCUGGCUUGCCUAGCUUUCUCCUACUGCACCCACUCCAGGCUGGGACAGAAGAGACUGCACCUAGCAGCUUGUGCUUCCACGGUGACGUCAAAUGUGAAAGAACCAAUCCUGCUACAAAGAGGGUGUGGUGGAAAAAAUGUCUAUGCUCCCAAGGCUUGCCUGAGGGCAGAACAAGUGUUCCAGUUUCCCUCUUUUCCACUGCUUUUCCCUCUCUCCUAGUUCUCCCUCGCCCCCUUAGGUAAGACUCCUUUGCCUAUGCACCCCUGCAAACAUAGUGGUUCUUAGGCGUAAGUGUACAUGAGGCAUCUUUUUCAAAAUACAGAUUGCUAGGGCUCACCUUCCAGAAGCAGUGAUUCUGCAGGUCUGACUGGGUUGCAGGAAUUUGCAUUUUGAACAAGCUUCUGAGUGCAGAUGGUUGGUAGAAUGCACUUUGAGAGACGCUGGCAUAGAGGUAGUUUCAUACUAAUAAAUUAAGUGCUAGAGCUUAGAAACAAGUAAAACUAAGCCCAAAAGAUUUGCUAAAUACAGUACAAAAUUCAAUGUCUUACCAAUUAGAAGUGCACAUAAUCAAAUUAAACAGCAGGAAUGCUUCUGAGAGAUUAGUACUUCUAACAUUCUCCAUUAAGAAUAAAGGGCAUAUGAAGAUGUAUAUGCCUGUAUAUGUAACUAAUGGGUAAGGAAGAUGAUAACUAGGUUCACGAGAAGGGGCUGUGAAUGUGUUAGUGUUUAUUGACAUAAACUGAACAAGAAUUUUCUUACUUGAUGCUGCUUAUUGUCCAAAAUUUAUGUUUUCUGAGUGGCACAUCAUUAAUAGGCCCAAAAUGGGAAUUUACUUUUCAAAUAAUUUAUUCCUGUAGGGGCCAGAAGAAGAAAAAUUCUUCUUCCCUCUAUGAAAGAUUGCUAAAAAUCAACUGACAAAAGGCAAAUUAAUAGGAGAAAAGACACAAAAAUUAAUUUAAUCACAAUUUUAUGUGAUAUGGGAACCUUUAGAAUGAAGACCCAAAGAUACAAGGGAAACCGUCCAUUUUUAUGGUUAGAUUCAACAAAGUAUGGGCAGCCAUGUAGAAAUUUGACUGGACAAAAAGGAUGUGAUGUAAUGCUAAGAGGCUGAGUGGGGAAACCCAGCAAAGCCUGUCUGUUUAGAUUCUUCUUGUUCUGUCUGUGCAACAUUUUGGGUAUGGGGCAGUACCCUCUCUGGAAUGGGGGUCUUAUGACCUACAAUCAAACAUGUUUGGCCCAAUAACUUCUUUAUGGCUAGUUUACACAGAAAGGUGGGGGAAAGUAUUUUUGGAGUAUUAUUUUAAGUUUUAUGGCUGGCUUUGGGAAAAAAGGUUUCUGGUUUCUAAGAACUGCUUUGGGAAAGAGGGAUUCUAGUUUCUAUGCCUAGCCUCAGGGAAGAAUGCAGGGACAGAGACAGGAGGGCAGGAGAAGGUCAGAGAGCUGUUUCUGAGGCCUUCAUUUUAGGAUAUUGUUUUCUGAUUCUUAACAGUUCCAAGUGCUGAUAGUUUCUAGAAAAGACUUUGUUUAAGUAAAAAUUGGUAGAACAUGAAGUUGGAACUCAUUUAAAUACUCCAUGGGCUCAUUUUGUGAUUGCUGAAUGUUUUGUAUUUUUUUUUAAUCUUUAUUAAAAUUCUACCUAAGGUGUCUGGAA
rnacentral:lncRNA from 1 species